UACGAAGGGGGCAAGCGUUGUUCGGAAUUACUGGGCGUAAAGGGCGCGUAGGCGGCCGAUCAAGUCAGGCGUGAAAUUCCCGGGCUCAACCUGGGGGCUGCGCUUGAUACUGAUUGGCUUGAAUGCGGGAGAGGAUAGUGGAAUUCCCAGUGUAGAGGUGAAAUUCGUAGAUAUUCGCAAGAACACCAGUGGCGAAGGCGGCUUACUGGUCCGGUUCUGACGCUGAGGCGCGAGAGCGUGGGGAGCGAACAGG
rnacentral:rRNA from 1 species